UCUUCCUACGGGACGCAGCAGUGAGGAAUAUUGGUCAAUGGCCGGGAGGCUGAACCAGCCAAGUCGCGUGAGGGAAGACGGCCCUACGGGUUGUAAACCUCUUUUGUCAGGGAGCAAGGUGCAGGUCGGGACCUGCUGUGAGAGUACCUGAAGAAAAAGCAUCGGCUAACUCCGUGCCAGCAGCCGCGGUAAUACGGAGGAUGCGAGCGUUAUCCGGAUUUAUUGGGUUUAAAGGGUGCGCAGGCGGGAGAUCAAGGCAGCGGUAGAAUGUCGGGGCUCAACCCCGGCCGGCCGGUGAAACUGGG
rnacentral:rRNA from 1 species